rnacentral:rRNA from 1 species
CAGCCCUAAACGAUGCGCGUUAGGUGUAUCGGUGACCACGAGUCACCGAGGUGCCGAAGGGAAACCGUGAAACGUGCCGCCUGGGAAGUACGGUCGCAAGGCUGAAACUUAAAGGAAUUGGCGGGGGAGCACCACAACGGGUGGAGCUUGCGGUUUAAUUGGAUUCAACGCCGGAAUCUUACCGGGACCGACAGCAACAUGAAGGCCAGGCUGAAGACUUUGCCGGAUUAGCUGAGAGGAGGUGCAUGGCGUCAGUGACU